CUGUCUCUUGCUUCAACAGUGUUUGGGUGGAACAG
rfam:Myotis lucifugus cont2.1612, whole genome shotgun sequence.